GACGAACGCUGGCGGCGUGCUUAACACAUGCAAGUCGAACGGCAAGGCCCUGCUUUUGUGGGGUGCUCGAGUGGCGAACGGGUGAGUAACACGUGAGUAACCUGCCCUAGACUUUGGGAUAACUUCAGGAAACUGGGGCUAAUACCGGAUAGGAGCUCCUGCUGCAUGGUGGGGGUUGGAACGUUUCGGCGGUUGGGGAUGGACUCGCGGCUUAUCAGCUUGUUGGUGGGGUAGUGGCUUACCAAGGCUUUGACGGGUAGCCGGCCUGAGAGGGUGACCGGGCACAUGGGGACUGAGAUACGGCCCAGACGCCUACGGGAGGCAGCAGUGGGGAAUAUUGCACAAUGGGCGGGAGCCUGAGGCAGCAGCGCCGCGUGCGGGAUGACGGCCUGCGGGUUGUAAACCGCUUUCGCCUGUGACGAGGCGGGAGUGACGGUAAUGGGUAAAGAAGCACCGGCUAACUACGUG
rnacentral:rRNA from 1 species